CUACGGGUUGCACCAGUGAGGAAUAUUGCACAAUGGGGGAAACCCUGAUGCAGCAACGCCGCGUGGAGGAUGACGCAUUUCGGUGUGUAAACUCCUUUUAUAUGUCAAGAAAAUGACGGUAGCAUAUGAAUAAGCACCGGCUAACUCCGUGCCAGCAGCCGCGGUAAUACGGAGGGUGCAAGCGUUACUCGGAAUCACUGGGCGUAAAGGACGCGUAGGCUGGUUGGUAAGUCAGGUGUGAAAUCCUACAGCUUAACUGUAGAACUGCACUUGAAACUACCAACCUAGAGUAUGGGAGGGGGAGAUGGAAUUAGUGGUGUAGGGGUAAAAUCCGUAGAUAUCACUAGGAAUACCUAAAGCGAAGGCGAUCUCCUGGAACAUUACUGACGCUAAGGCGUGAAAGCGUGGGGAGCAAACAGGAUUAGAUACCCGCGUAGUC
rnacentral:rRNA from 1 species